UUGAGGGGAGAUGGAACCCUGAGCAGCCCAUGUACACGGAAGAUCUUUAUUGCAGAGAUCUUCAAACCAGGAAACUGAGGCUAAAAAGUUUAGUAUUCUGCCAAGGCCAGCUAAUAGUUACAGAACAUGGUUCCAAAUUCAGAGCUGUCGGAAGCUUAAGCCCAUGUGAUGAACCACGAAUAUGAUUUUACCUCAUUUAAGCCUUGCAGCAACUCUGCCAAGCUGUCUCUACCAGGCCAGAAUUUGGCGCAGGGAAGAUUUUCAGCAUCCCUAAAAUCACACUAAGAAGAUAAACAUGGAAACAGCUUCGAGCUGCCCUACCCAUAGUGAGGUGGUACUGACUGGAAGACAGCUUAAACGAUUUGGAGAAAAGUGGAAUACAUUAAUCUCAGAAAACUCUACCACCUGUAGAAAGAGAGCUAAAAUGGAGACAACCACAGGCAGUCUAAGAUAUGCUGAACUACUACAGAAAAUAAUUCAGCAUGAAGGAAUGCUGGAAGGAUCUUCUAAGGGUGUGAGGAUACAGGCGUCAAAGACCCCAUGCUGAGACAGCUCCAUAACAACAUGCAGAUAUUUGGCAAUGAGGGUUCAGAAGAGGACUUGCUGUGGAGAAGAGAGAAAAGAGAUGGGAAGACUCUGUGAAUGAAUAGAGAACACUCUGCAAGCAUCCCAGUUCCUUUGGUUGCCCUGCAGUCUGCAGGUGCCAGGAGAAAUCAGAAGCCACCUGGAAGGGCUGUCUGUCUGUAUGGAGUCAAGGCAGGGUCUUCAAAUCUAUGCUUUCUAAAACAAAGAAAUAACCUUGAUGAAACAAAUUUUCCCCAGAGGAAGGGGAGAGCCCACAGCGAGCUGGUAAAGAAGAUGCCUGGAGCAGGCGGCAUCCUCAAAUGGAAGAGAUGGGGUCUUGCUAUGUUGCCCAAGCUGGUCUUGAAUUCCUGGCCUCAAGUGAUCCUCCCGCCUCGGCCUCCCAAAGUACUGGGAUUACAAAACAAAACAACCAGCAGGCGGGCCUGCGGCAUUCCAAGAGCAGACACUGGCAGGAACAAAAGUUACAGAAGUGAGUGACUCUAAGAAUCAAGCAAGACAUGGAGUGGCAGAAAAUUAAAUUCUGAGUCCCUAAAAGACAUAAUGCAAAGAUGACCUCCACUCCCAAGGACAUGUCCUCAUCCCGCGCUGACCGUGUGUGGUCAUUUCAGGAAAAGCAAACAAUGGAGAACCUGCUUGGAUGAUACUUAGACCUGGCACAACUGAAAGGAGUUGCACUUAUACAAUUUGAUGCAGCGGAGUCCCCUGGGAGGAGCCCCAGUCACACGGGAAGAGACAGUCACAGCUGUAAUAAAUGAUGGCUAGCAUGU
rnacentral:antisense_RNA from 1 species